UACGUAGGGGGCAAGCGUUGUCCGGAUUUAUUGGGCGUAAAGAGCGUGUAGGCGGCCAUGUAGGUCCGUUGUGAAAACUCGAGGCUCAACCUCGAGACGCCGAUGGAAACCAUGUGGCUAGAGUCCGGAAGAGGAGAGUGGAAUUCCUGGUGUAGCGGUGGAAUGCGCAGAUAUCAGGAGGAACACCGAUGGCGAAGGCAGGUCACUGGGCCGCAACUGACGCUGAGGCGCGAAAGCUAGGGGAGCAAACGGG
rnacentral:rRNA from 1 species